UAGAGUUUGAUCCUGGCUCAAGGAAAAACGCAAGAGACGUGACCUAACACAUGACUAAAUUUAAUAGUUUAUUAUUUAACUAUAGUGAAUUGGUGAGUAAUAUAUAGUAAAAUUUAAUUUUAGAUUAGAAGUAUUCCUAAUAACGUUAGGGUUAAUCUCUGAAUAAGCGCUAUUUGUGUACUUUAAAAAGUUAAAACUGUCUAAUAAAAAAGUUCAUAUCUGAUUAGCUAGUUAGUAAGAUAAUAGCUUACUAAGGCGAAGAUCAGUAGCUCGCCCUGAGAGGGGGACCAGCCACAUUGGGAUUGAAAUACAGCCCAAACUCCUACGGGAGGCUGCAGUGGGGAAUCUUCUGCAAUGAGCGCAAGCUUGACAGAGCAUCGUCACGUGAAGGAAGACAGCUUAUUAUAGUUGUAAACUUCUUUUGCUUAAAAGUAAAAACUGACACUUAAGUAAAUAAAGUAUCGGCAAACUCCGUGCCAGCAGCCGCGGUAA
rnacentral:rRNA from 1 species